rnacentral:rRNA from 1 species
AUUGAACGCUGGCGGCAGGCCUAACACAUGCAAGUCGAGCGGAUGAAGGGAGCUUGCUCCUGGAUUCAGCGGCGGACGGGUGAGUAAUGCCUAGGAAUCUGCCUGGUAGUGGGGGAUAACGUCCGGAAACGGGCGCUAAUACCGCAUACGUCCUGAGGGAGAAAGUGGGGGAUCUUCGGACCUCACGCUAUCAGAUGAGCCUAGGUCGGAUUAGCUAGUUGGUGGGGUAAAGGCCUACCAAGGCGACGAUCCGUAACUGGUCUGAGGGGAUGAUCAGUCACUGGGGAAAGAGGAAGCGUGCCAACCCCGGGGGGGAGGCAGCGGGGGGAAUUUUUGGAAAGGGGGCGAAAGCGUAUACCAGCCAAGCGGGGGGUGUAAAAAAGAGCUUUGGUUUGUAAAGCAUUUUAAUUGGGGGGGAGGGGAAGUAAUUUAAUCCCUUGCUUUUUUGACGUACCCAAAAAAAAAACCACCGCUAACUUUCGG